rnacentral:rRNA from 1 species
CCCCUAGAUGUUCUGGGCCGCACGCGCGCUACACUGAACAGUUCAACAAGUCUUAACCUUGGCCGAUAGGUCUGGGUAAUCUUUGAACGCUGUUCGUGAUUGGGAUAGACCUUUGCAAUUAUGGGUCUUCAACGAGGAAUUCCUAGUAAACGCAAGUCAUCAGCUUGCAUUGAUUACGUCCCUGCCCUUUGUACACACCGCCCGUCGCACCUACCGAUUGAAUGGUCCUGUGAAAUCUCGGGACGGCGGCUCGGUCGCUUGCGUCCGACUGCUGAAACUUGAUUAAACCAUAUCAUUUAGAGGAAGGUGAAGUCGUAACA